AUUCAACUGGUGACCAACUGCUCGUUCUCACCGAUCUCCUUGUGUCACCAUGCUAUUAUGCAUAGAAGGAUGACUAAUCUUCACUUCGGGCUCUUUUCAUCAAAAAUUCCAGAUCCUCAGGUACCAUCUGUGGUGGCUCUCUGCAGGUUUUAAAACUGCUUCUGUUGAGCUCUCAUCAUUUUGGUGGUUUCUGUGUUUGGUUUCAUUAGUCUGUGUUCCACAGGUUCUUAGCUGCCAUUUGAUUUCCUAACUUGUCCAGAAGUGUUUUCAGAAUAUUGAUCACUUUUUCUUUGAGGCAUCUGAAAAGUCAAAGUCUCAGACUAGAAAUAAGUACCCAGUAUGAUCAUGGCAUCCAAACAGAGUCUAAAGAACUCACUAAGAAACAGUUUACUUGGAAUGGAGAAUACCCAUCUGUAACACAGGUCCUGUCAUUUCAUGCAUCUCAAGUUAUUUUGAAUUUUUCCCAAAUGGCUGUUGGGUUUAGAUAGUAGUAGGACUGUGGGCCCUAAAUCUGAAGCCUUGAGAGCCUUGGGUCUGGAGAGCCAUGGAGAGGGAAGGAACAGAGGGCAAGUUGAACCUAACCAAUGACCCGAUGAAUUGCUUCACCAUGACACAGAAAUGAAGUCUGUGUCCACGUACUUCCCACGGACUGGAGUUUUUGGUGCUGAAUGGAGAGCCAGUUGCUGAAAAACUAGGGGUUCAGUGAAUAAAUUUUUGAUUGAUUGCUGUGUGUGUAUACAAUAUGUGAUUUUGAAAAUAAACAGGAACAAUGAAAACCUUGACUGGUUGGUUUUUACCUGUAUUCUUUACAAAUAUUGUUUUGAUCCUCUUUUAAAACUGUUACACUUCACCUAAAUGGAAGACUGCUGUGUUUGUGGAAAUUCUGUAAUUUUUUUGUCUUUCUUUUGUUCUCUAUUUUUUUUUUUUUAAUUUUUGCCGGCAGAAUUGUUGAGAGACUAAUGAGGAUUGAUAUUUAAUUGACCUGUUUGUUUAAUAUGUUACAUAGAUGUAAAAGAUUGUAUAAACUGUCAAGAUGGCAUUGGCAAGACUUUGUACAGAUGAAGCCUUUUACACAAUACCAUUGUGUAAUUAAUUUGUAAAGAUUCACAUGUAGCUCUUUAUUAUAGUGAUUUUGGGCUUUUGUACUCAUUGAAUGCCAUUUUUGUGUGUUUUUUAAGUUAUUUUCUUUAUCUUUUCAUGUUACAAAAGCUGAGGUGUGGGGUUUUUUUUAGUUCAUUUAUCAUUAGAAUGUCUGAAUUUUUAUGUAACUUUUUCAUGUGCAUCUCUAAAUGCUAACAACACUUGUUUGCCUAUGACAAGUUUAUAGAGUGCAAGGUAUCUUCUAGGUUGAAACAGUUCACGAGUUCGUGAAUGUCUUCUUGCAACACACCCUGUACAGUCUUCCUUAGAGGAACACUAUAGUAUAUUUUUUAGUAUCUACCUGCUGAAUGACUCGAUACAGACCUAAGCACAGUGGUGGUCCUGGUACAGUAUUUAAGGGUCAGCAUACACAGGCGUAAUCCCUGUAUAGAAUUGUGCCAAACUGAUUAUUUCAAUUGUGUAACUAGUUUAAAACCCAAUAAAUGGAUUGUUUUUAA